rnacentral:rRNA from 1 species
GGAAUAUUGCGCAAUGGGGGAAACCCUGACGCAGCGACGCCGCGUGGGUGAUGAAGGCCUUCGGGUCGUAAAGCCCUGUCGGAAGGGAAGAAUGCCUGUCGGUCGAAUAGGCCGAUGAGCUGACGGUACCUUCAAAGGAAGCACCGGCUAACUCCGUGCCAGCAGCCGCGGUAAUACGGAGGGUGCAAGCGUUGCUCGGAAUCACUGGGCGUAAAGAGCGUGUAGGCGGUUUCGUAUGUCUGACGUGAAAGCCCCGGGCUCACCCCGGGAAGUGCGUCGGAAACUGCGGAACUAGAGUCUCGGAGAGGGAGGUGGAAUUCCAGGUGUAGCGGUGAAAUGCGUAGAUAUCUGGAAGAACACCGGUGGCGAAGGCGACCUCCUGGACGAUGACUGACGCUGAGACGCGAAAGCGUGGGGAGCAAAC